rnacentral:tRNA from 1 species
UAGCUUUUAAAAGACUAUUUUGAAAAUAGUCAAUGGAGUUUCUUCAAAGCUAU